rnacentral:rRNA from 1 species
AUUGAACGCUGGCGGAAUGCUUUACACAUGCAAGUCGAACGGCAGCACGGACUUCGGUCUGGUGGCGAGUGGCGAACGGGUGAGUAAUGUAUCGGAACGUGCCCAGUCGUGGGGGAUAACGUAGUGAAAAUUACGCUAAUACCGCAUACGAUCUAUGGAUGAAAGCGGGGGAUCGCAAGACCUCGCGCGAUUGGAGCGGCCGAUAUCAGAUUAGGUAGUUGGUGGGGUAAAGGCCCACCAAGCCAACGAUCUGUAGCUGGUCUGAGAGGACGACGAGCCACACUGGAACUGAGACACGGUCCAGACUCCUACGGGAGGCAGCAGUGGGGAAUUUUGGACAAUGGGCGAAAGCCUGAUCCAGCCAUUCCGCGUGCAGGAUGAAGGCCCUCGGGUUGUAAACUGCUUUUGUACGGAACGAAAAGGUUUCUACUAAUACUAGGAGCUCAUGACGGUACUGUAAGAAUAAGCACCGGCUAACUACGUGCCAGCAGCCGCCGUAA